rfam:Populus trichocarpa scaffold_2_contig_204, whole genome shotgun sequence.
UUUAGAACUCGAGAUAUGGGCUGAACACUGAACAAUAUUUGGGCUACAAGACAGAUUCUGACAUCUCUAUUGUUGCUAUAAUUUGAGCUUGAAAACAACCAUUUUCAAUCUUGGACUCCUCAUGAAAAUUUUAGGACUAUGUCUUAGCUUUCUAUC